AUUGAACGCUGGCGGCAGGCUUAACACAUGCAAGUCGAACGAGUGGCGGACGGGUGAGUAAUGCCUGGGAAACUGGCUGAUGGAGGGGGAUAACUACGGGAAACGGUAGCUAAUACCGCAUACCAUCGGAUGAGCCCAGAGGGGAUGAGCUAGUUGGGGGGGUAAAGGCUCACCAAGGCGACGAUCCCUAGCUGGUCUGAGAGGAUGACCAGCCACACUGGAACUGAGACACGGCCCAGACUCCUACGGGAGGCAGCAGUGGGGAAUAUUGCGCAAUGGGGGCAACCCUGACGCAGCCAUGCCGCGUGUGUGAAGAAGGCCUUCGGGUUGUAAAGCUCUUUCGGCGGGGAGGCGUUACCCGCAGAAGAAGCACCGGCUAACUCCGUGCCAGCAGCCGCGGUAAUAC
rnacentral:rRNA from 1 species